UCCUGAAUCCUGGUCGGUGUUGGCGUGGGGAGAGGAAUAGGUGCAGAAAGAAAUCCUCUGAGGUCUGAAUGUGGCCAGCCUCAAUGGAGAGUUCUGGCAGCUCCUGCCAGGACUGGUGCAGCAGUAGGCAAUACUGGUUUGAGCUCGGACCCACGGACUUGCUGGAGCGCAAGGGCUCCCUCACCCUCCGCUCCCAUCACAAGAAGUACUCGAAACCCGUGUUGGUGUAUUCUUGGCACCAUGACAGAGAAGCCUAUCCAAAAGAUUAUGAUAUAGAGGGUCCUGAGGACAUAAAAAAACUGUGUAAUUCAACAUAUUGGCGACUUGGAACUGAUGAACCCCCAAUUUGGAUAUCAGAAACACAUGAAAAAAUGGCACAAGUUUAUUUAAACAGAGAAUUGGAUAAAAUAAAGAGGAAGCCUUUAUUGAAUGACGAGACAAUGAGCUCUGGGAUUAUUGAAAGGGAUACAGGACUACCUGCCACAGGCUUUGGAGCUCUCUUUACUAGACACCCACCAGAUCGGCAUAAAAUGUAUGCCUUGACAACAUACGCUGAGGAAUAUGCUGCACCGUACGAUUAUGAGCCACUCGACUGAGGAGGGUGCCGACCAAAUGCAAGAAAAACCCAAGAGUUCCCUCCACAUACCAGUAUUACGAGGCCAUGGGUGAGGAAGCUUGCCACCAGAGAAGCCAGAGAACAGCCCGAUGAAGAAACCAUGGCCUGAAGAACGAUUGGCUGUUUCCUGGAGGUAAAUGGUGGAAGAGAGAACCAAAGCCCAUGCUCUCAACCAAGACACCAGAAUGAAGGCCAAGUCUUAGUAUUUUCAUGAGUUUGCUGGUAGUUGUUGUUGAAAGACAACUUGUAAUCAUAGUAAGAACUACAAGGGUCAGUCUUGUUGGAGCAGUUGUUUGGAAAGAAGAGUGGUCUGUGGGAACGUCACUGGG